AAAAGGAUAGCAUCCUCUAAUAAGUCAGAUGUUGUAACAUCCCAAUUUUCCUAUGCAUCUAAAAUAUGGACCUCAAAAUUUUUUCUUAAAAUUUAUAUAGCAAUUCAAACCUUAGAGCCAUGCAUUUGAAAAUUAUGCAUUGAAAUAUAAUUUUCAUGAGCACAUGUGCAUUUGGUGAACUAACUAUCUAGUUUACUUUGAGAAUAUCUCACCCCAAUACCCCUUCCAAACCUAUAAAACAAAAAACAAACUCAUAGACAAAUAAAUGAAAAACCCCUAAGAACCUAGGCAGGCCGAUGUCCUUCUUUUCGGCCCGUCAUCACAACCAGCCUGGCCUGCCUCGCCCCUCCUCUCUCUCACGCACACACGCAAGGCCAAGCAAUUGGCCCAGCCAGCGCCCCAGCCCACAACCCCAUCAUCCCCUACCUCCGGUUCCUCCCCCUUCCCUUCCUCUCGCCCGCACACGAUGUCACGCCGGCCGUGCACCACACCCAGCCCUCUGGCCACCUCCCCGGCUCGCUCCAGAGCACGCCAAAGUCGCCCAUGCCUCUACCACCCUCUGCGUAGGCUAGAGCCUCCCCUCCACCCCGGAACCCGGCCAUCCCAAUCCACUCACCCGCGCACCAAAGCACGCUGCUGGUGGCAUGCCUAACCCGAUCUCUUUCACCCCCGCCGGAUUCACACACCCCCUUCCCUGGCGAACGCGUCGUACCAGCCUGCACUAGGCGCAUUAAAUGAGCCCCUCAUCCUCUGCCCAGAUCCCCUCCACGUCCUCAUCCCAUCCGAUGUUGGCGCCACACGUCACCAUCCACUGUCGUUCCGAUGCCACCUGUCCCCGACCAGAUAAGCUCGGUCGAACCUCCUCGAGCCCCACCGAUAGCCC
rnacentral:lncRNA from 1 species